UGAAAAUUAUUUAAUAUUUAAGUUGAAAUAUUGCUUCCCCCCACCCUUUUUUUUUCCUCUUGUGAAUUUUUUUUUUUAUUAUCAAUUAAAUAAAUAAAACAAAAGACAUUUUGCAAAGGAAAACGAUAAGGCAGAACAAAGAUGGAGUAAAAUCCUGAUUCUAAGGAAACUGAUGAUGAGUUGACAACAUUAGCAGCAACUGAUCUGUUGGAGAGGACAUAGAAGAGCUUGGUAUUAAGUUCAUUGAUUGUGAGAAGUGAGGAAUCUGUUUUGGUUCCUUACUUCUUGUCUCAGGGCAGUUGAAGGUUAUCAGACUCCACCUAGAACUCUCCAAUAUAGUUUAAUUAGUCUAGGAAGUAAACUGGCAGUGUUGCUAAAUUGACAGAUGAAUUCAGUUCUGACCAAGAUCAACUUAGCUUUUAAUCUUUCCGGAAAGGAUAAAUGAAAUGCCAGUCUCAGGAUUUACACUGGCAGAAUCAUUAGGGUGUCAGACAGGAUGUGUUGCUGUAAUUUUACAGCUCUUUCCGUUCUGAGUUCAAAUCUUGUCAUGGCUUACUUGGAUGGUAGACUUAAUCCAGUGCACAGAUUAACACCACUACCUGGUCCACUGGUGCCUUUAACGGGGUCCACUCUGUUUCAAGCAUUAGGGCCAGAUUUCCAGGUUAAAGAUACCUUCCUCUCUCCUUACUUUGUAAGGGAUCUUAAGCACUGCCUUUUCUCUUAAGGAUAAGUGAAAGAUGUUGCUAAGUCAUAAUUAGUGAAGUCAAGGGUAAUUUAAGCUAGCAGCCAAAGUGCUCAACAGUUUGCAUAAUUUCACCAGCACAGCAUUGUAAAUGAGAUCAUGACAAUUUUAUUCUUGAAUUGUCCAGUUCACCUAGCUCUAAGAACCAUGUGUGGUAAAAUAUACUGUUGUGAGCAGUAAGAUGACAAAGUAAUUUUGAAGUGUUUUGUUAGCUUACAGUAUUAAGUUUAACUCCUAUGAUCAUAGUUUAACAAGGGAUACUCUACUUGUACUUACCCCUUACAUAAAGACAGUUUCCAAACUAUGCAUUUAUGAGCACAGUGGGUUAUGGUAUUCACACUUACAUUAAUAGAGCUGCCUCAAUAUCCAUGUGUGUGGAUGUAUAUGUUUAUAUGCAUGAAUGAGUGAGUAGUGAAUACAAUUCCAUUUAUUUUGCCAUUGGUCUAUUGACAAAUGUUUUGGAUUGAAGAAAAAAAUAAGUCAAGGUUUACAAAUAUGUAACUGAAGUCUUCCUGAUACAGAAAAAAAACAAAAAACAGAAAGUACAAUUUAAAUUAAUUCCAGUUAUAUUCAGGAACAAUAAAGGAACAUGUGAAUAAACUUUUGUUUU